UUGUACCUGGUGGCGAGCGGCGGACGGGUGAGUAAUGCCUAGGAAUCUGCCUGGUAGUGGGGGAUAACGCUCGGAAACGGACGCUAAUACCGCAUACGUCCUACGGGAGAAAGCAGGGGACCUUCGGGCCUUGCGCUAUCAGAUGAGCCUAGGUCGGAUUAGCUAGUUGGUGAGGUAAUGGCUCACCAAGGCGACGAUCCGUAACUGGUCUGAGAGGAUGAUCAGUCACACUGGAACUGAGACACGGUCCAGACUCCUACGGGAGGCAGCAGUGGGGAAUAUUGGACAAUGGGCGAAAGCCUGAUCCAGCCAUGCCGCGUGUGUGAAGAAGGUCUUCGGAUUGUAAAGCACUUUAAGUUGGGAGGAAGGGCAUUUACCUAAUACGUAAGUGUUUUGACGUUACCGACAGAAUAAGCACCGGCUAACUCUGUGCCAGCAGCCGCGGUAAUACAGAGGGUGCAAGCGUUAAUCGGAAUUACUGGGCGUAAAGCGCGCGUAGGUGGUUUGUUAAGUUGGAUGUGAAAUCCCCGGGCUCAACCUGGGAACUGCAUUCAAAACUGACAAGCUAGAGUAUGGUAGAGGGUGGUGGAAUUUCCUGUGUAGCGGUGAAAUGCGUAGAUAUAGGAAGGAACACCAGUGGCGAAGGCGACCACCUGGACU
rnacentral:rRNA from 1 species